AAAUAAGAUAUUAUAAAAUUUCAAAACACAUCGAAACAUCAAAAUUUCAAUAUAAAAAAUAAUUUAAUGAUUCAAAACCAUCAAGAUGUAAGUUGAUGAAAAACGAUUUUUAGAAAUUCAACAAAAUUGACACCAAUUUGUCGCAACACAUUCAAAAUAGAGAUUUAACUAAUAUGGCACCGGAGGUGGCUCUUUGAGGAUCUUUUCAACUUACCACCUUAUUACUCCGAAAAUUUUAAUAUUUAUAAACUUUUUCCAACCUUUUCGGCUUUUCAAUUAAUUUUCAUGUGGUAGCUUCACACACUUGCCGGACGACCGGAGUGGUAGCUCUUUCCUACAUGUGGUGGUAGUUUUCACACUCCUUUUAGGAUGUAACUCUUUCCACAUCUUUUAAACAUGGGAGUUUCUUUUUCUCCUUUUUUUUAAUUUUUAAACAAUUUCAAACUCCCCCUAAAUUAGACAAUCUCACAGUUGAAAAUAAUUUUGGCGAAUUUUAGUCAAUUAGAGAAUAUCCAUUCAUCAUAUCCAACACUCACAACCAAGAUGAAUUAAUCACCGAAAAAAAUAAAUUUGAUUUCAAAGUUUUGAUGAAUAUAUGCAUUAAGAAAUCAUAUAUUAAAUUAUGGUCAAAAUAAUGAAAAGUGGAGUAAAACCGAUAAUUAAUAUGAAUUUAACUUAAUUAUCAUUGUGAAGAUAAACACCGUUCAAACACCUUUUUUAAAAAUAUUUCUCUCUCCAAAAUCAUGGAUCUCAAUCAUCUCUUUUCUCGAAAAUUUUGAAUUCCUAAACACCUUUCCUCAAAAUGAUUUUUAAAUAAACAA
rnacentral:lncRNA from 1 species